GACAGAGGCCUCGAGCGUUAGGCGGAAUCACUGGGCUUAAAGCGUGUGUAGGCGGGCCGUUAAGUGCCUUGUGAAAUCCCAUGGCUUAACCAUGGAACUGCUUGGCAUACUGGCGGUCUUGGGCCAGCUAGGGGCUACCGGAACAAACGGUGGAGCGGUGAAAUGCGUAGAUAUCGUUUGGAACGCCAAUGGUGAAAACAGGUAGCUGGGGC
rnacentral:rRNA from 1 species